UACGGAGGGUGCAAGCGUUAAUCGGAAUUACUGGGCGUAAAGCGCACGCAGGCGGUUUGUUAAGUCAGAUGUGAAAUCCCCGAGCUUAACUUGGGAACUGCAUUUGAAACUGGCAAGCUAGAGUCUUGUAGAGGGGGGUAGAAUUCCAGGUGUAGCGGUGAAAUGCGUAGAGAUCUGGAGGAAUACCGGUGGCGAAGGCGGCCCCCUGGACAAAGACUGACGCUCAGGUGCGAAAGCGUGGGGAGCAAACAGG
rnacentral:rRNA from 2 species